rnacentral:rRNA from 1 species
CCUAUUGUUGCCUCGGCAGGUGGCGCCUACCCAGUAGUGCCCUACCCUGUAGGACCUACCCGGUAGACACCAGCCUCGGUUCCAAGAGGGGAUAAUGCUUUACGAACGUACCUCCGAUGCGAGUGUUACAACUGAC